AUACGGAGGGUCCAAGCGUUAUCCGGAAUCAUUGGGUUUAAAGGGUCCGCAGGCGGUCAAUUAAGUCAGAGGUGAAAGCCCAUCGCUCAACGAUGGGACUGCCUUUGAUACUGGUUGACUUGAGUUAUACGGAAGUAGAUUGAAUAAGUAGUGUAGCGGUGAAAUGCAUAGAUAUUACUUAGAAUACCGAUUGCGAAGGCAGUCUACUACGUAUAUACUGACGCUGAGGGACGAAAGCGUGGGGAGCGAACAGGAUUAGAAACCCCAGUAGUCC
rnacentral:rRNA from 1 species